UCAAAGUCAGAGGGCUGGAGCAACCUGGGU
rnacentral:piRNA from 2 species